rnacentral:rRNA from 1 species
GACGAACGCUGGCGGCGUGCUUAACACAUGCAAGUCGAACGGAAAGGCCCUGCUUUUGUGGGGGGCUCGAGUGGCGAACGGGUGGGUAACACGUGAGUAACCUGCGCUUGACUUUGGGAUAACUGGAGGAAACUGGGGCUAAUACCGGAUAUGAGCUCCUGCUGCAUGGUGGGGGUUGGAAAGUUUCGGCGGUUGGGGUUGGACUUGGGGCUUAUCAGCCUGUUGGUGGGGUAGUGGCUUACCAAGGCUUUGACGGGUAGCCGGCCUGAGAGGGUGACCGGCCACAUUGGGACUACGAUUACGCCCAGACUCCUACGGGAGGAAGCCGUGGGGAAUAUUGCACAGUGGGCGGAAGCCUGAUGCAGCAACGCCGCGUGCGGGAUGACGGCCUUCGGGUUGUAACCCGCUUUCGCCUGUGACGAAGCGUGAGUGACGGUAAUGGGUAAAGAAGCACCGGCUAACUACGUG